rnacentral:rRNA from 1 species
GAGUAAUACAUGGGUGAUCUACCUUAGGGAUGGGGAUAUCCUUCCGAAAGGAGGGGCAAUACCGAAUAUUGUCCGGAGCCGUGAAGGGUUCCGGGGAAAGGGAGGCCUCUGAUACAAGCUUUCGCCUUAAGAUGAGCCCAUGGCCCAUCAGCUAGUUGGUAGGGUAAAGGCCUACCAAGGCUACGACGGGUCGCUGGUCUGAGAGGACGACCAGCCACACUGGCACUGAGAUACGGGCCAGACUCCUACGGGAGGCAGCAGUGAGGAAUAUUGCGCAAUGGGGGAAACCCUGACGCAGCAACGCCGCGUGUGGGAAGAAGGCCUUCGGGUCGUAAACCACUUUUGCACGGGACGAAAAAGGGAUAUCGAACAAAUAUCCCCGAUGACGGUACCGUGAGAAUAAGCCA